rnacentral:rRNA from 1 species
GCUCAACCGAAGAAGUGCAUCGGAAACUGGGAAACUUGAGUGCAGAAGAGGACAGUGGAACUCCAUGUGUAGCGGUGAAAUGCGUAGAUAUAUGGAAGAACACCAGUGGCGAAGGCGGCUGUCUGGUCUGUAACUGACGCUGAGGCUCGAAAGUAUGGGUAGCAAACAGGAUUAGAUACCCUGGUAGUCCAUACCGUAAACGAUGAAUGCUAAGUGUUGGAGGGUUUCCGCCCUUCAGUGCUGCAGCUAACGCAUUAGCAUUCCGCCUGGGGAGUACGGCCGCAAGGCUGAAACUCAAAGGAAUUGACGGGGGCCCGCACAAGCGGUGGAGCAUGUGGUUUAAUUCGAAGCUACGCGAAGAACCUUACCAGGUCUUGACAUACUAUGCAAAUCUAAGAGAUUAGACGUUCCCUUCGGGGACAUGGAUACAGGUGGUGCAUGGUUGUCGUCAGCUCGUGUCGUGAGAUGUUGGGUUAAGUCCCGCAACGAGCGCAACCCUUAUUAUCAGUUGCCAGCAUUAAGUUGGGCACUCUGGUGAGACUGCCGGUGACAAACCGGAGGAAGGUGGGGAUGACGUCAAAUCAUCAUGCCCCUUAUGACCUGGGCUACACACGUGCUACAAUGGAUGGUACAACG